rnacentral:rRNA from 1 species
UCAGGAUGAACGGCUGGCGGCGUGCCUAAUACAUGCAAGUCGAACGAACGUUCCGUUAAUUGAUCAGGACGUGCUUGCACUGAAUGAGAUUUUAACACGAAGUGAGUGGCGGACGGGUGAGUAACACGUGGGUAACCUGCCCAGAAGCAGGGGAUAACACCUGGAAACAGAUGCUAAUACCGUAUAACAGAGAAAACCGCCUGGUUUUCUUUUAAAAGAUGGCUCUGCUAUCACUUCUGGAUGGACCCGCGGCGCAUUAGCUAGUUGGUGAGGUAACGGCUCACCAAGGCGAUGAUGCGUAGCCGACCUGAGAGGGUAAUCGGCCACAUUGGGACUGAGACACGGCCCAGACUCCUACGGGAGGCAGCAGUAGGGAAUCUUCCACAAUGGACGCAAGUCUGAUGGAGCAACGCCGCGUGAGUGAAGAAGGGUUUCGGCUCGUAAAGCUCUGUUGUUAAAGAAGAACGUGGGUGAGAGUAACUGUUCACCCAGUGACGGUAUUUAACCAGAAAGCCACGGCUAACUACGUGCCAGCAGCCGCGGUAAUACGUAGGUGGCAAGCGUUAUCCGGAUUUAUUGGGCGUAAAGCGAGCGCAGGCGGUCUUUUAAGUCUAAUGUGAAAGCCUUCGGCUCAACCGAAGAAGUGCAUUGGAAACUGGGAGACUUGAGUGCAGAAGAGGACAGUGGAACUCCAUGUGUAGCGGUGAAAUGCGUAGAUAUAUGGAAGAACACCAGUGGCGAAGGCGGCUGUCUGGUCUGUAACUGACGCUGAGGCUCGAAAGCAUGGGUAGCGAACAGGAUUAGAUACCCUGGUAGUCCAUGCCGUAAACGAUGAUUACUAAGUGUUGGAGGGUUUCCGCCCUUCAGUGCUGCAGCUAACGCAUUAAGUAAUCCGCCUGGGGAGUACGACCGCAAGGUUGAAACUCAAAAGAAUUGACGGGGGCCCGCACAAGCGGUGGAGCAUGUGGUUUAAUUCGAAGCUACGCGAAGAACCUUACCAGGUCUUGACAUCUUCUGCCAACCUAAGAGAUUAGGCGUUCCCUUCGGGGACAGAAUGACAGGUGGUGCAUGGUUGUCGUCAGCUCGUGUCGUGAGAUGUUGGGUUAAGUCCCGCAACGAGCGCAACCCUUAUUACUAGUUGCCAGCAUUCAGUUGGG